GAUGAACGCUAGCUACAGGCUUAACACAUGCGAGUCGAGGGGAAACGACAUUGAAGCUUGCUUCGAUGGUCGUCGACCGGCGCACGGGUGAGUAACGCGUAUCCAACCUGCCUCUGACCAAGGGAUAACCCGUCGAAAGUCGGCCUAAUACCUUAUGCAGUCGUCGGAAGUCAUCUGAUGACGACGAAAGAUUUCAUCGGUGAGAGAUGGGGAUGCGUCUGAUUAGCUUGUUGGCGGGGUAACGGCCCACCAAGGCAACGAUCAGUAGGGGUUCUGAGAGGAAGGUCCCCCACAUUGGAACUGAGACACGGUCCAAACUCCUACGGGAGGCAGCAGUGAGGAAUAUUGGUCAAUGGGCGAGAGCCUGAACCAGCCAAGUAGCGUGCAGGAUGACGGCCCUAUGGGUUGUAAACUGCUUUUAUGCGGGGGUAAAGUGAGGGACGUGUCCUUCAUUGCAGGUACCGCAUGAAUAAGGACCGGCUAAUUCCGUG
rnacentral:rRNA from 1 species